AUAAAGUGGCGAACGGCUGAGUAACACGUGGGCAACCUGCCCUUUGCACUGGGAUAGCCUCGGGAAACCGAGGUUAAUACCGGAUACUCCAUAUUUGUCGCAUGGCGAAUAUGGGAAAGCUCCGGCGGCAAAGGAUGGGCCCGCGGCCUGUUAGCUAGUUGGUGGGGUAGUGGCCUACCAAGGCAAUGAUGGGUAGCCGGGUUGAGAGACCGACCGGCCAGAUUGGGACUGAGACACGGCCCAGACUCCUACGGGAGGCAGCAGU
rnacentral:rRNA from 1 species